rfam:Triticum aestivum genome assembly, contig: Triticum_aestivum_CS42_TGACv1_scaffold_000360_1AL
CUUGUACUCCCUCCGUCCGGAAAUACUUGUCCUUGAAAUGGUUGUAUCUAGGUUUAUUUUAGUUAUAAAUACAUACAUUUUAUUCAUUUCUAGGACAAGUAUUUCCGGACGGAGGGAGUUGUAC